AUAAGAGCCACAUCGUAACUUUGUGACUCGCUGCUGCCAGGGCCCCAAGGAAGUGCUCUUCCUGGGCACGAACCCAGGACCUUUUAGCAUGGCCCAGACAUGAGUGCCCUUUGAGGAAGUGAACAUGGUCUGGGACUGGCUGGGCAUUGGAGGGCCUGUGCUAACCCCUCCCCAAGAGCACUGUCUUAGCUGGGACUGGGGUGCUGGGACUGGCGUGCUCAGUGAGAGGGGCCAGGACAAAGCAUGGGACAAGAAAUUCAGAGUGACCUUCUCAUGAGAGGCUGAGGCUGGCUCAAAGAAUUCGGUGCGGCAGAGUGAAAGUCAGAAGACCUGGAUUUUCAUCCCAGCUUUGCGACUUGUGAGCUUUAUGAUGGUCAAAUUGAUGAAGACUAGGCUUCAGGCUGCUCCUCUGUAAACGGGGGCUGUCUCCCUCCUGGGGUUUGUGUGAAGGCAACGGAGACAACACUUGAAAGUGUCUUGGCCGGGCGCGGUGGCUCAUGCCUGUAAUCCCAGCACUUUGGGAGGCCGAGGCAGGUGAAUCAUGAGGUCAGGAGAUGGAGACCAUCGUGGCCAACAUGGUGAAACCCCAUCUCUACUAAAAUACACACACAAAAAAUUAGCCAGGUGUGGUGGCGUGUGCCUGUAGUCCCAGCUACUUGGGUGGCUGAGGCAGGGAAAUUGCUUGAACCUGGGAGGCAGAGGUUGCAGUGAGCUGAGAUCGCACCACUGCACUCCAGGCUGGCAACAGAGCGAGACUCUCAAAAAAAAAAAAAAUUGUCUUGCAUAGGCCUGGCUCAUGGCUUUGCUUUCUUGCUUUCUUACCUCGGGGCUGGGGAGUCACCGCACUGUGCUAUGAGGAAAGCCCCUCUCCAUUCAGGAGACCCUGCUAGGGAGGAGUCUGGGCUCCCACCUGUGGCCAAAGUGAGGGGCGAAUUCUUUCCCUGUCAGAGAUGGACCAAUGACUUUAUGACAAACCCAGCCUGUGAUUUUUCUAGUCUAAGCAUUAAAAGCUCCUAAACCCAGCCAGAUCUGGUGGCUCACGCCCAUAAUCCCAGCACUUUAGGAGGCUGAGGUGGGUGGGUCACUUGAGGUCAGGAGUUUGAGACCAGCCUGGACAACGUGGUGAAACCUCAUCUCCACUAAAAAUAGGAAAAUUAGCUGGGUGUGGUGGCGGGUGCCUGUAAUCCCAGCUGCUCAGGAGGUUGAGGCAGGAGAAUCGCUUGAACCCGGGAAGCGGAGGUUGCAGUGAGCCGAGAUCACACCACUGUACUCCAGCCUGGGCAUCAGAGUGAGACUCCAUCUCAAAAAUAAAUAAAUAAAUAAAUAAAAAUAAAAACCCUUAAACUCUUUUAAAAAAUAGCUACAAAGCGCCUCCCCUGUCUCCGUGCCAACUGGGGUGAGGUGGGAGCUUAAUGGAUCCUGUAGAUCAUAUACAUUUGAAUCUCAGGCCUAGAUGAAGGCAGAGCCCUCAUGAAUGAUCAGGGGAGAUAUGUUUUCUAUCUAGAGCCCUGGACAAGCUAGAUAAGCUAUUUCAUUAUCUCUCAUUGCAAGUGAGGAGAUUGUUUUUUCUGUCACUUUUUUCCGUAGAGUGGAAGCCUUGGAAGGUCUUGGCUGUAUGCAGGAUUCACAGCUUUGACGCAUGCGUGCCCUAGGCCCAGGCCUCAGCUCCUGUCCCUGUUGGUGGCCAUUACAUCCAAAGCUUCUUAGGUAUCAAGAUUGGCAGCUCUCCCCUUCCACCUCCCCUGCAUCCAGUGCAGCUGCCCCCACGAUCUCCUGCUUCUUUGGUUUCAGUUUGCUUUGCUUUCCUUUUGGCUGCAGGAUUUCCCUUUCUUUAGCAAAGCUCAGUUAGUGCAUUUGAAAGCCUGUUCAUUACCUUUUCUCUACCACUUCUAGGUGUUUUUAGAGCAGAAAGCUUUCUAUGUUUCCUAGUCUGCCACACUAUCAGAAAUGUAAGUCUCUGUGAUACAAUUUCUCUCUAUUAAACUAGCAAAAAUGUAGCAGGGGCAUGUGCAAGGGUGAGGGAAGUGCUCACAUUCUCCUGAUGGGAAUCUGAAUUGCUACUCAAUUCCUGACAGUAUUUUGCAAUAAAAAAUAUGAAAAAAUGAUGCAUGUCUUUUGUCCCAG
rnacentral:lncRNA from 10 species